rnacentral:rRNA from 1 species
UAUACAAGGUGCUGCAUGGUUGUCGUCAGCUCGUGCCGUGAGGUGUCGGGUUAAGUCCCAUAACGAGCGCAACCCUAUCAUUAGUUGCCAUCAGGUCAAGCUGGGGACUCUAAUGAAACUGCCUACGCAAGUAGUGAGGAAGGUGGGGAUGACGUCAAAUCAGCACGGCCCUUACGUCCAGGGCUACACACGUGCUACAAUGGCCGGUACAAAGGGCAGCUACCUGGUGACAGGAUGCUAAUCUCAAAAGCCGGUCUCAGUUCGGAUCGGAGUCUGCAACCCGACUCCGUGAAGUUGGAUUCGCUAGUAAUCGCGCAUCAGCCAUGGCGCGGUGAAUACGUUCCCGGGCCUU